UUUCCGUAGGUGAACCUGCGGAAGGAUCAUUACCUAGAGUUUGUAGACUUCGGUCUGCUACCUCUUACCCAUGUCUUUUGAGUACCUUCGUUUCCUCGGUGGGUUCGCCCACCGAUUGGACAAAUUUAAACCCUUUGCAGUUGAAAUCAGCGUCUGAAAAAACUUAAUAGUUACAACUUUCAACAACGGAUCUCUUGGUUCUGGCAUCGAUGAAGAACGCAGC
rnacentral:misc_RNA from 1 species